ACUUCACUUUAACUUGUUCCCAUGUCCUGCAUGAUUGUGCUUCUAUUUGCUCUGUAAUUAUGACAAUAAAAGAAUAAUGAAAAAUUGGAAACGUAACACUCUCAGGCUGCCUGCCCUGCAUGCGCAGCUGGGCCAGUUAUGCGGCUGCAGAUAAGAGGUCAGGUGUGUUCCUCUGCCAGACUCUGCUCCCUCAGGCCCUGUCAGCUCUCAGGCUGUCUGCCCUGCAUGCACAGCUGGUCCAGUUAUGCGGCUGCAGAUAAGAGGUCAGGUGUGUUCCUCUGUCAGACUCUGCCCCACUAGGCCCUGUCAGCUCUCAGGCUGCCUGCCCUGCAUGCGCAGCUGGGCCAGUUAUGCAGCUGCAAGCUGCAGAUAAGAGGUCAGGUGUGUUCCUCUGUCAGACUCUGCCCCCCCAGGCCCUGUCAGCUCUCAGGCUGCCUGCCCUGCAUGCGCAGCUGGGCCAGUUAUGCGGCUGCAGAUAAGAGGUCAGGUGUGUUCCUCUGUCAGACUCUGCCCCACUAGGCCCUGUCAGCUCUCAGGCUGCCUGCCCUGCAUGCGCAGCUGGGCCAGUUAUGCAGCUGCAGAUAAGAGGUCAGGUGUGUUCCUCUGCCAGACUCUGCCCCGCCAGGCCCUGUCAGCUCUCAGGCUGCCUGCCCUGCAUGCGCAGCUGGGCCAGUUAUGCAGCUGCAAGCUGCAGAUAAGAGGUCAGGUGUGUUCCUCUGUCAGACUCUGCCCCCCCAGGCCCUGUCAGCUCUCAGGCUGCCUGCCCUGCAUGCGCAGCUGGGCCAGUUAUGCAGCUGCAGAUAAGAGGUCAGGUGUGUUCCUCUGCCAGACUCUGCCCCGCCAGGCCCUGUCAGCUCUCAGGCUGCCUGCCCUGCAUGCGCAGCUGGGCCAGUUAUGCGGCUGCAGAUAAGAGGUCAGGUGUGUUCCUCUGCCAGACUCUGCUCCCUCAGGCCCUGUCAGCUCUCAGGCUGUCUGCCCUGCAUGCACAGCUGGUCCAGUUAUGCGGCUGCAGAUAAGAGGUCAGGUGUGUUCCUCUGUCAGACUCUGCCCCACUAGGCCCUGUCAGCUCUCAGGCUGCCUGCCCUGCAUGCGCAGCUGGGCCAGUUAUGCAGCUGCAGAUAAGAGGUCAGGUGUGUUCCUCUGUCAGACUCUGCCCCCCCAGGCCCUGUCAGCUCUCAGGCUGCCUGCCCUGCAUGCGCAGCUGGGCCAGUUAUGUGGCUGCAGAUAAGAGGUCAGGUGUGUUCCUCUGCCAGACUCUGCCCCGCCAGGCCCUGUCAGCUCUCAGGCUGCCUGCCCUACAUGCGCAGCUGGGCCAGUUAUGCGGCUGCAGAUAAGAGGUCAGGUGUGUUCCUCUGCCAGACUCUGCCCCGCCAGGCCCUGUCAGCUCUCAGGCUGCCUGCCCUGCAUGCGCAGCUGGGCCAGUUAUGUGGCUGCAGAUAAGAGGUCAGGUGUGUUCCUCUGCCAGACUCUGCCCCAUCAGGCCCUGUGAGCUCUCAGGCUGUCUGCCCUGCAUGCGCAGCUGGGCCAGUUAUGCAGCUGCAGAUAAGAGGUCAGGUGUGUUCCUCUGCCAGACUCUGCCCCGCCAGGCCCUGUCAGCUCUCAGGCUGCCUGCCCUACAUGCGCAGCUGGGCCAGUUAUGCGGCUGCAGAUAAGAGGUCAGGUGUGUUCCUCUGCCAGACUCUGCCCCGCCAGGCCCUGUCAGCUCUCAGGCUGCCUGCCCUACAUGCGCAGCUGGGCCAGUUAUGCGGCUGCAGAUAAGAGGUCAGGUGUGUUCCUCUGCCAGACUCUGCCCCGCCAGGCCCUGUCAGCUCUCAGGCUGCCUGCCCUGCAUGCGCAGCUGGGCCAGUUAUGUGGCUGCAGAUAAGAGGUCAGGUGUGUUCCUCUGCCAGACUCUGCCCCAUCAGGCCCUGUGAGCUCUCAGGCUGUCUGCCCUGCAUGCGCAGCUGGGCCAGUUAUGCAGCUGCAGAUAAGAGGUCAGGUGUGUUCCUCUGCCAGACUCUGCCCCGUCAGACCCUGUCAGCUCUCAGGCUGUCUGCCCAACAUGCGCAGCUGGGCCAGUUAUGCGGCUGCAGAUAAGAGGUCAGGUGUGUUCCUCUGCCAGACUCUGUCCCCUCAGGCCCUGUCAGCUCUCAGGCUGCCUGCCCUGCAUGCGCAGCUGGGCCAGUUAUGCAGCUGCAGAUAAGAGGUCAGGUGUGUUCCUCUGCCAGACUCUGCCCUCUCAGGCCCUGUCAGCUCUCAGGCUGCCUGCCCUACAUGCGCAGCUGGGCCAGUUAUGCGGCUGCAGAUAAGAGGUCAGGUGUGUUCCUCUGCCAGACUCUGCCCCGCCAGGCCCUGUCAGCUCUCAGGCUGUCUGCCCUGCAUGCACAGCUGGUCCAGUUAUGCGGCUGCAGAUAAGAGGUCAGGUGUGUUCCUCUGUCAGACUCUGCCCCACUAGGCCCUGUCAGCUCUCAGGCUGCCUGCCCUGCAUGCGCAGCUGGGCCAGUUAUGCAGCUGCAGAUAAGAGGUCAGGUGUGUUCCUCUGCCAGACUCUGCCCCGCCAGGCCCUGUCAGCUCUCAGGCUGCCUGCCCUGCAUGCGCAGCUGGGCCAGUUAUGUGGCUGCAGAUAAGAGGUCAGGUGUGUUCCUCUGCCAGACUCUGCCCCAUCAGGCCCUGUGAGCUCUCAGGCUGUCUGCCCUGCAUGCGCAGCUGGGCCAGUUAUGCAGCUGCAGAUAAGAGGUCAGGUGUGUUCCUCUGCCAGACUCUGCCCCGCCAGGCCCUGUCAGCUCUCAGGCUGCCUGCCCUGCAUGCGCAGCUGGGCCAGUUAUGCGGCUGCAGAUAAGAGGUCAGGUGUGUUCCUCUGCCAGACUCUGUCCCCUCAGGCCCUGUCAGCUCUCAGGCUGCCUGCCCUGCAUGCGCAGCUGGGCCAGUUAUGCGGCUGCAGAUAAGAGGUCAGGUGUGUUCCUCUGCCAGACUCUGUCCCCUCAGGCCCUGUCAGCUCUCAGGCUGCCUGCCCUGCAUGCGCAGCUGGGCCAGUUAUGUGGCUGCAGAUAAGAGGUCAGGUGUGUUCCUCUGCCAGACUCUGCCCUCUCAGGCCCUGUCAGCUCUCAGGCUGCCUGCCCUACAUGCGCAGCUGGGCCAGUUAUGCAGCUGCAGAUAAGAGGUCAGGUGUGUUCCUCUGCCAGACUCU